UGGGGCGUAGCCAAGCGGUAAGGCAGCGGGUUUUGGUCCCGCCAUCCGGGGGU
rnacentral:tRNA from 1 species